UACGUAGGGGGGCUAGCGUUGUCCGGAAUCAUUGGGCGUAAAGAGCGUGUAGGCGGCCCGGUAAGUCCGCUGUAAAAGUCAAAGGCUCAACCUUUGAAUGUCAGUGGAUACUGCCGGGCUAGAGUCCGGAAGAGGCGAGUGGAACUCCUGGUGUAGCGGUGGAAUGCGCAGAUAUCAGGAAGAACACCAACGGCGAAGGCAGCUCGCUGGGACGGUACUGACGCUGAGGAGCGAAAAGCGUGGGGGAGCAAAACAGG
rnacentral:rRNA from 1 species